AAUAGAUACCCGGGUAGUCCACGCCGUAAACGAUGAGUGCUAGGUGUCACGGGCUUUGACCCUCGUGGUGCCGCAGCUAACGCAAUAAGCACUCCGCCUGGGGAGUACGGCCGCAAGGCUAAAACUCAAAGGAAUUGACGGGGGCCCGCACAAGCGGUGGAGCAUGUGGUUUAAUUCGACGCGACGCGCAGAACCUUACCUGGGCUAGAAAACGUAGGAACCUGGGUGAAAACUCGGGGUGCUCUUCGGAGAAUCUACGGUUAGGUGUUGCAUGGCUGUCGUCAGCUCGUGUCGCGAGAUGUUGGGUUAAGUCCCGCAACGAGCGCAACCCUUGUCGUUAGUUGCCAGCAUUGAGUUGGGCACUCUAACGAGACUGCCGACUUUCAAGUCGGAGGAAGGUAGGGAUGACGUCAAGUCCUCAUGGCCCCUAUGUCCAGGGCUACACACGUGCUACAAUGGUCGGUACAAAGGGCUGCGAAACCGCGAGGUGGAGCCAAUCCCAAAAAACCGGCCUCAGUACGGAUUGGAGUCUGCAACUCGACUCCA
rnacentral:rRNA from 1 species